rnacentral:sRNA from 1 species
AAAAGAACUCAAUAAACCCCUUAAAGUAGCAGUGAAGUUUAGAUGAAUAAACAGCUAAAAAUAUUUCUUUUUAACAUUAUUUACUUACACAUCUAGCAUUGUGUUUGUGACAAAUUUCUCUUUAUUUGAUCAACAGUUACUUAACUAUCACUCUGGUGUUUACUUGUUCAAUUACUAGGAAUCUAUAAAUGACUUUCUCAUAUAGUUAGGUGACUAAUUAGACACAAAAAUGUUGGAGCUACUACACAAGCCCUAUCCCACGUGACCCACACAUACAUAUAUUAGUUGCCACUAGAUAGAUAAACAACCAACUAAGAGCAACCCUCUCACAAAAAAUAAUGUAUUUCACCACUUUCUGAGACACACCACUCCCUGAGACACUAAAUCACAUGAUGUCAAAACUUGUUACAAUGACAUAGUGGAUCACUUGGAUCACUCAGAUCACUUAUCUUAACCUGUGAUAGUGGCACUAUCUUCUGACUUAGUGAUCAAGCUCAGCAACACUAUAUAAGCCCCGAUCUUACCUUAUAUUCAGUGAGAAGCUUGCUAAGUUAGAGACUCGGUAGCACCCAGCGGCUACUCUAAUUAAUAUAGAGAUGUAAGUUAUAUCUAGAAAUUAUACACAGACUUUAAAAUAACUAGAAAUAAUAUUUAUCUAUUUACUGUUAGAAAAGAAAAAGAAGAAUAUUUCUCAAGUUCUCAACUGAUGACUAAUACUCUAGCAACAGAUGCUGACUCAGCUACUUAUAUGAUUGAGGUUGAAGUUGUUAGAUCACUGGGGCAAAAGAGCACCAUGCUGAUAGUAGAGGGGACGAACCAAUCCAAACCCCUCAACACCCCCCCACAGACUCACAACUACUCAUCUUGACUAGCUGAGAACCAGGUCUGUCUUUGUUCUACCCUUCCACUGCCAAUUUUUUUUUUUUUUUUUUUUUCUUAGUGGUCAGCUGGGGAACUAGGCCCUUGUUUGUUCUGGUCCAAGGAUUCAGAGUGACUAAGCACUUAUUUUGUCCGGACUUUUUAAGAACUGUGCAUUAGUGGGAUAGGACUUUUUUAUUUGGAUAAUCUCUGAUUCAAACCUGUGAUAGCAUGUUAGCACACCUUGCAGUGAUUGCACUGACACAGGCCUCAUAAUCUGUUAGACCACUGGGGCAAAAGAGCUCUCUCACACCAGCACCAUGCUGGUAGUAGAGGGGAUGAACCAAUCCAAACCCCUCAACAGAAGUUGCAUUUCUCUAAUUGAUGUUUCUUAAUCACACUAUAUCAUGUGAUAUAGUGUCUCAGGAAGUGGC